AUACUUAAUUAGAAAUAAUUCAGUUUAAAUUGAUAAUUUAAACUUUAAAAAUUAAGAUUU
rnacentral:tRNA from 1 species